rnacentral:rRNA from 1 species
UACGGGGGGGCAAGCGUUGUUCGGAAUUACUGGGCGUAAAGGGCUCGUAGGCGGCCAACUAAGUCAGACGUGAAAUCCCCCGGCUUAACCAGGGAACUGCGUCUGAUACUGGAUGGCUUGAGUUUGGGAGAGGGAUGCGGAAUUCCAGGUGUAGCGGUGAAAUGCGUAGAUAUCUGGAGGAACACCGGUGGCGAAGGCGACAUCCUGGACCAACACUGACGCUGAGUGAGCGAAAGCCAGGGGAGCAAACGGGG